CCUACGGGUGGCAGCAGUAGGGAAUAUUGCUCAAUGGGGGAAACCCUGAAGCAGCAACGCCGCGUGGAGGAUGAAGGUUUUCGGAUUGUAAACUCCUUUUGUUAGAGAAGAUAAUGACGGUAUCUAACGAAUAAGCACAGGCUAACUCCGGGACAGCAGCCGCGGUAAUACGUGGGGUGCAAGCGUUACUCGGAAUCACUGGGCGUAAAGAGCGUGUAGGCGGGAGAGCAAGUCAGAUGUGAAAUCCUAUGGCUUAACCAUAGAACUGCAUUUGAAACUGUUAUUAUAGAGUAUGGGAGAGGUAGGUGGAAUGCUUGGUGUAGGGGUAAAAUCCGUAGAGAUCACGAAGAAUUCGCAUUGCGAAGGCGACAU
rnacentral:rRNA from 1 species